rnacentral:rRNA from 1 species
AACGAACGCUGGCGGCAGGCCUAACACAUGCAAGUCGAGCGCCCAGCAAUGGGAGCGGCAGACGGGUGAGUAACACGUGGGAACCUUCCCUAUAGUACGGAAUAGCCCAGGGAAACUUGGAGUAAUACCGCAUACGCCCGAGAGGGGAAAGAUUUAUCGCUAUAGGAUGGGCCCGCGUAGGAUUAGCUAGUUGGUGAGGUAAUGGCUCACCAAGGCGACGAUCCUUAGCUGGUCUGAGAGGACGACCAGCCACACUGGGACUGAGACACGGCCCAGACUCCUACGGGAGGCAGCAGUGGGGAAUAUUGGACAAUGGGCGCAAGCCUGAUCCAGCCAUGCCGCGUGAGUGAUGAAGGCCUUAGGGUUGUAAAGCUCUUUUGCCGGGGACGAUAAUGACGGUACCCGGAGAAUAAGUUCCCGGCUAACUUCGUGCCAGCAGCCGCGGUAAU